rnacentral:rRNA from 1 species
AGUGAACGCUGGCGGUAGGCCUAACACAUGCAAGUCGAACGGCAGCACAGUAAGAGCUUGCUCUUACGGGUGGCGAGUGGCGGACGGGUGAGGAAUACAUCGGAAUCUACUUUUUCGUGGGGGAUAACGUAGGGAAACUUACGCUAAUACCGCAUACGACCUACGGGUGAAAGCAGGGGAUCUUCGGACCUUGCGCGAUUGAAUGAGCCGAUGUCGGAUUAGCUAGUUGGCGGGGUAAAGGCCCACCAAGGCGACGAUCCGUAGCUGGUCUGAGAGGAUGGUCAGCCACACUGGAACUGAGACACGGUCCAGAGUCCUAAGGGAGGCAGCAGUGGGGAAUAUUGGACAAUAGGCGCAAGCCUGAUCCAGCCAUACCGCGUGGGUGAAGAAGGCCUUCGGGUUGUAAAGCCCUUUUGUUGGGAAAGAAAAGCAGCAGGUUAAUACCCCGCUGUUCUGACGGUACCCAAAGAAUAAGCACCGGCUAACUUCGUG